CGGAGCAGGAAGACAGGUGGUGCUGUGAGUGCGUAUGUGUUCCAGGCAGUCAGUAGCCUGAGCGCAUGUGUGUGUGUGUUGUUUUUUUUUUCUGAAUAGUAUCGGGGCCACGUGCCGGUGAUGACGGACUCUGUGCACUUGGCAGGAACGACAGGAAGAGCACACGGGACAAAGAAGGGAUACUGCACUGAGAAUGGAGACUGACUGCAGGCCAUCUGACCAGCCGCCAGGACAGCAGAGCAAGCUGUCACAUGUUGCUGCCUCGAUAAUCCAACUGCUUCAUCCCUCCGUCUCCUUUUCA